CCUCCCACAGCAACUGCCGCCGCGACGCUCCAGAAGAGCCUCAGGCCGUUGGCAACGGGAGGGGACCCCCCCCACAUCGGGGCCCAGAGCACAACUGGGGGUCCCCGCAGCCCGUUCCCCUUGCUGCUUCCACGUCCGGGGCCGUCGGGGCGAUGGCGCAAGUCUGCGCCCCCCCCCCCUCCACCCCACAGCGACAACAGCCACGGUGACAAAAUGGCAGCCCGGCGCCCGGCAGUCCUGCCACAGGCGUGCAGGGCCCUGGCGGCCGCCCCUGGCCCCCAAUAACAACUCGGCACCCUUCGGGUUCGGUCUCCGGCAGGCUUGGCCGUUAAAAAUGCAAUAAUAAGAAAACACCUCGAGCUCCAAACCAGUUCGGGAAGCCAAAAGGCCCGCCCGAGGGCCAGCCCGGCGCGCCCGCGGCCCGGCUCGCGCGCACGAGGCCCGACCGCCCCGUCGCCCGGCCGCCGGCCCGCGCCCCGCGCCGCAUGGAGCCCGGCGCCCGCAUUCGGAGCCCCGCGCUCGGCGCCGGCCGCGCCAUGGGGGAGGGGCGGGGCGGGCCGCGCGAGACCCGGGAAACAUGGCUGCUCGUCCUAUUUCGGCGUCGCGGCGUGGCUACCAGCCCCCGGAUCAGAGUUGGGAGAGGCUCCCAAGAGGCUCCCGCGCCGGCGGAAUUCAAUCAAUAAACCCCGAACCCACGGCCGCGCGUUUUAGGACUUUGAAGGCUCAACCAGCUCCGCUCGGUUCUCGAGCCCCCAGCACCCGCGGCGCACACUAACCUGAUCACCGUGGAGGCGGGAUCGGCGGUCUCGCGAAUGAGUGGCAGCAGCGUUAGCCAAUCGCCGCCGCCGAUCUCCGGGCAACAGCGAAUGGUGGUGGAGGCGGGGGGGAAGGGACCAAUGGGCGGGCUGCGCAGCCGGCCAGGGAGGCUCAGCCAUUUGGUUGUGGUGCCGGAGACGGACCCCUUUAGAUUUCGGGGCGGCUGAGGAGCGCGGCGGCAGCUCGGUGGCUGAGCGAGGGGGGUGGGCGGAAUGGCGGGGGAAGGGAAGGCGACUGUGCCUGGAGGGCCGAGCCGCCCGGCCUCGCCAGCCCGCCGCCGCCUCAGCUUUUGGCCGGGGGCGGGGCCGCAGGUGCGUUACACGAAAGGGAGGGGUGCGGCCGGAGGGGCCGGGGGUAGGGGUCCUCGUCGGGCCGUGGGCUUCGCCCCGGGUCUGUCCGCGCCGCACAACUGGGCUGUGGAAAGAGGCAGGCGGCGAGAGGUCUGGGGGCCGCGGACUGCUCGGCGGGCGGGCCGAUGAAAGGCCUGGAAAAAGGGGGGAGGGAUCAAGGGUGCAGUUGGGGGAGGGGCUGGUCAUUUUCUGGGUCCAGAGGGCCAAGCUAGCGGAGCGAGGCUGCUGCCCCCCCAUCUCCUCCGCUGGUUCCCACUCCGGGUCUGCGGCUCACAAUCCGCGCGACCCUUCACCUCCCUCUUCGUCGUAGUCCAGCCGUGACCAUCGCAGCCCCCUGAAUACAUAAGUAAAUAAGCAAGAUGCGUCCACUUUUGGAUGACUUAACUCGCGGUCUAGACCCUCUACUUAAAGGGGCAUUUCAGUUUGUUGUCAUAUAAGGUCAGCUUGGAAGGAGUGAUGUAGAGGCACCGGCAGUCUUGUUUAGUCAAUAAAUGAGUAAAGACCAUGGACUAAGAAUUGAUGCUGAAUAUUUUGAAUAUUUUAAAAAUGGAAAAGGAAGGUGCUAGUAAGUCGGGUUUUCUGGACCAAACAUUAUUUAUGGGCUUUAUUGACCUAGUGAAAGAAAACGGCGCACAGUUUUUAAUUGUCCACCUGAGUCAUUUGGUUCAAUUUGGACUGCCAAAGAGGCUCUGUUUGGAGCACUUUCUCCAGGUUUUACGGUUUGCUUGCUUUGGGGUUUUUGAAUCACAGUUGUAAGAGAUCUUAAAGCCUUAAUUCCCACCUGGUUACCAACUUAUUGUGGCCAGUUCUAGAACAUUUAUUGUGUACUAAGUUGGCUGCCUAUGUCUGUUAACAGAUCAUAGGGACUGCUGUCAACAGGACAAAUACAUCUCCACACAAGUAUUUUUCGAUUCUUUUAUUUCUACACGUCUACACUCUUACUCAUGUGCUCGAAGGUAGUUCUUUUGGAUAUAUUGUAUUUAUUUUUCAGAGACAUGGGUUCAAGGGAUAGAUAAACCAAUAUGUAUGUAUGUUGCAAGUCUGAAAUAUUUUUACAUAACUCUUACACAGUUAUAUUCUUGAAUAUAUAAAAUUUAGGAGGAAAUAAAAAGUGACAAUGUAAAAGACACAUAUAGAAUGCCUACACUGGGGAAGAAACUGUAACUUUGAAAUUGUAACCUGAUGGAUUGCAAAUGUGAAAUCCUGCAACUAAGCAUUUUACUCAGUAAGUUCUUUCAGGUAAAAUAUUAAGUGAAAUUUGAAAAGGGGUCAUAUUUACUUUUUGAGUAACUGGGAGAUGCAAAAUAAAACUGGGAAGCCAUUGUUUUAUUUCAUCUGGGUAUAAGUAUUAUGGGGUGUUUUACUUGUAUUAGCAGAUGUCAGUCAUCAGUUUUGUUAAUCUUAUUGACAUCAAUUUGUGUAGUUGGAAUUUAUUGUUUUAAAAUAUAUUGGUUUCAUUAUAAAACAUAGAGGGACCCCAAAUUA